rnacentral:rRNA from 1 species
AAUGAAUCGCAUAAUGUGCCCCGGACUUUGGGAUAGCUACCCGAAAGGGUAGUGUAAUACCAGAUGAUAUGUCAGUUGUCGCAUGACAGCUGCCUCCAAAGGUCCGUCCGGUCUGGGAGCAGGCGAUUUCGUAUCAGCUAGUUGGUGAUGGUAACGGUCCUCACCAAGGCGGUGACGCGUAGCCGGACUGAGAGGUUGGCCGGCCACAUUGGGACUGAGACACUGCCCAGACUCAAUACGGGGGGCUGCAGUAACGAAUCUUCCGCAAUGGGCGCAAGCCUGACGGAGCGACGCCGCGUGUAGGAGAAGCCCUUCGGGGUGUAAACUACUGUCAGGGGUUAGAAAGUUCUGAUCAACCCCAGAGGAAGGCACGGCUAACUCUGUGCCAGCCGCCGCGG